UGGGGAAUAUUGGACAAUGGGCGAAAGCCUGAUCCAGCCAUGCCGCGUGUGUGAAGAAGGUCUUCGGAUUGUAAAGCACUUUAAGUUGGGAGGAAGGGCAGUAAGCGAAUACCUUGCUGUCUUGACGUUACCGACAGAAUAAGCACCGGCUAACUCUGUGCCAGCAGCCGCGGUUAUACAGAGGGUGCGAGCGUUAAUCGGAUUUACUGGGCGUAAAGCGUGCGUAGGCGGCUAAUUGAGUCGGAUGUGAAAUCCCCGGGCUUAACUUGGGAAUUGCAUUGGAUACUGGUUGGCUAGAGUGUGGGAGAGGAUGGUAGAAUUCCAGGUGUAGCGGUGAAAUGCGUAGAGAUCUGGAGGAAUACCGGUGGCGAAGGCAGCCAUCUGGCCUAACACUGACGCUGAGGUACGAAAGCAUGGGGAGCAAACAGG
rnacentral:rRNA from 1 species